GUCACACCUGGCCCAAGCCCUCUCACCUGUGGUUGGACUUGCCAAGACUCUAAUGAUGCCUCCCUGAAAAGGACAAGAUUUCAACCCAGCACUGCCCUGAAUCCUGACAGAAAGCCUGCUUCUUCCAGGUCUCUUCUAGUUCCAGAUGAAUUUUGGGAGUGAUUUCUCAAGAUCUAUGAGCUCCCCCAGCAGCUUUGCUUCAAGUAACAGGCCACCAUUCCCUCUCAUUUCCAUGCGGGGCACCCAUCUGGAAUGGAGUAGUGAAGAAAGAUAUUGCUCUUUCGGAAAUCUCCCUCCCACAUGAGUUUUUCUUCUGCAAUGUGCCUGUGCCACGCCACCCUGCCUUGGAGCCAGCCAACUAUGAACCGAAACCUCUACGAACUUGCAGCUAAAUAAAUCUUUCCUCCUUUAA